UGUAAACUGAAAAUGUCUGUCUCAUAAAUGGGAGUAAUUUAAUCUGACUGCAUCUCCAUCAGUUCCGUGCUGCUCUCUACUAUGUUUGUGUCCUGGUGUGGGAGUUAUCUAGGGACAGAUGGAGGCAUCGGGCCAAAGCAGGCAGGAAACUGGAGGCACAGGAAGGAUCCACUCCUGGAUAACAACUGCUAUUUUAGAUCAGCUUAUCCAGGUCGGGUCAAGAUGGCAGUAGCCUGGCAGGGCAUUCCAGGUGUCUCUCUCCCCAGCAAAGCUUUCCAGUUCCUUCUGAGGGAACCAAAGGUGUUCCGAGGCCUGCUGAGAUGUGUAUCUCUCUAGUUAGUUCUUUGUCUCAUCCAGUUUGAUGGACUUGGGAAAACCUCCCAACAACGCCACCCAGAAAAGAUCCUAAUCAGAUGCCCGAGCCACCUCAGCUGGUUCCUUUCAGCAUGAAGCAGCAGCAACUCUACUGUGAGCUCUGUCCAGAUGUUGCACUCUAUCUGCAAAGCUGAGCCCAACUACCCUAUGGAGCAAACUCAUUUCAGCCACUUGUAUCCGUGAUCUCAUUAUUUCGGUCACUACUCCAAACUUAGGACAAUAUGCGAGGGAUGGGACAGACAGGUAAACAAUAUAUCCAGUCCAACUCCAACUCCACUAAUGAUCCUUGUCCUUCUCACCAUCCUCUUUCCUAAUACUUUGAAAAAGAUCCCAAGAUACCUUAAUCUGUGGCAACAACUCACCCCCAGCCCAAAGAGUGCAAUCCACCAGUUUCCAGCAGAGAGCCAUAGCCUUGGACUUUGAGGUGUUACGGCCCCAGAGCAUUGGUCCUGUGUUCUUUCUUAUGCAGGUCUCUGGCUGGGCAGAGUUUGAAAUCAUCAUCUAAUUAACUGGGUAACAAAAAAAAAGAAAAAAAGAUGGGAAAUGACUGAGUUCAACAGACACCAGAAACAUGUUUGUGCCAAAAAUACGAAAACAGCUCAUCAUUUGGUUGUACAAGACCGAAUUACUCGAACGAAUGGCCCUGAUACCCCAUACUCCGUCAUGACCCACCAGUGUUCCCUGGCAGACGCAGGCCUUCUCCAAGUCCACAAAACACAUGUGUACUGGAUGGCCAAACUUCCAUGACCCUCUUUGUGGCUCUGUAAGGGCAGGGGUAGUCCACUGUUCCACAGCCUGGACUGAAGCCACACUGCCCCUUCUGAAUCCCAUGUUCAACAGUUGUUCGGAGCUUCCCUCGAGGUGACCUGGAAUAAACUUUCGCUGGCAUCUAAGACUGGCUCUAAGCUUGUGGAAUGUGAUUGGAAUGUGCUCUUGCUUAUUAACAAGUUUUAGCAUGUUAAUGUGAUAAAACUAAAAUAGUCUAAACAUAAACACCAACAUGUUAACAGUGUAAUUGAGAGCAUGUUACAGUGUUGUUAUUAUUAGCAUGUAGCACAUGCACUAGCGUAAAAACAAAGCCCAACCUUUCAGACUCAUGAUUGUGGCUGCAUGCGAUGUAUAAUGCAACUUCAUCUUUCAAAAGGAAAGAAUAUGAUGGCAUAACUAUGAAAAUAUGGAAAAAAAUAAACAAAUUGC
ensembl:lncRNA